AACGAACGCUGGCGGCAUGCCUAACACAUGCAAGUCGAACGAGACCUGCGGGUCUAGUGGCGCACGGUUGCGUAACGCGUGGGAACCUGCCCUUAGGUUCGGAAUAACUCCCCGAAAGGGGGGCUAAUACCGGAUAAUGUCUUCGAACCAAAGAUUUAUCGCGUUUGGAUGGGCCCGCGUUGGAUUAGCUAGUUGGUAGGGUAAAAGCCUACCAAGGCGACGAUCCAUAGCUGGUCUGAGAGGAUGAUCAGCCACACUGGGACUGAGACACGGCGCAGACUCCUACGGGAGGCAGCAGUGGCGAAUAUUGGACAAUGGGCGAAAGCCUGAUCCAGCAAUGCCGCGUGAGUGAUGAAGGACUUAGGGUUGUAAAGCUCUUUUAUCCGGGAUGAUAAUGACAGUACCGGGAGAAUAAGCUCCGGCUAACUCCGUG
rnacentral:rRNA from 1 species